rnacentral:rRNA from 1 species
UACGUAGGGUGCGAGCGUUAAUCGGAAUUACUGGGCGUAAAGCGUCUGUAGGUGGCUUCUUAAGUCCGCUGUCAAAUCCCAGGGCUUAACCCUGGCCAGGCGGUGGAGACUACUAAGCUUGAGUACGGUAGGGGCAGAGGGAAUUUCCGGUGGAGCGGUGAAAUGCGUAGAGAUCGGAAAGAACACCAACGGCGAAAGCACUCUGCUGGGCCGACACUGACACUGAGAGACGAAAGCUAGGGGAGCGAAUGGG